ACAAAAAACAUCGGGGCUCGUUGGCAGAGCAACCGAAGGGCAACGAAACAAAACACAGCCGAGGGGUUGUUUUUGGCAAACAAAACAAAAAAGUCGGAUCGACCUCGAACGCCGAGCGACCAGGUCGCUAGGCCGAGGGAUCCGGCGAACUCGCUGGGUUUUCUCAGCGCCUUGGGCCGUCGAAGCCUCCUCCUCCGAGGGGCUCCGUCGCCUUAAGUACAGACGAGCUCGACCGCGACCCCGGGCUUCCGGAACGGUGGGUCGCUUCAUUCAAAAAGCACUCGGCAUCGUCGGGAGGUUGGCCUCGACGUUAUAAGCACCCGAGUAUGUACUUUCUCACGUAUACCAACAGAUUUCUUACACAAAACCCGGGGGCGGAGUCGGGAGGCUCUGCUUUUUUUCGGGGGUCGGCCGGCGUACCUCGUUGCGCGCCGCGACCGACCGAAUUGGCAUCUUACUUUUUUGA
rnacentral:misc_RNA from 1 species